rnacentral:sRNA from 1 species
AGGAUAAAAUUCAUUAUAUUCCUCCUGAACAGGACUUACAGUGUACAGACCAACUGUGAUUCCCAUAUUGGAAGAACCAUGGAUGGUGAUAAAAGAAAUUUUAGAAGGCCCUAGUCCAGAAUGGGAAACUAAAGCCCAAGCAUGUACUCCAGUGGAGGAUAUGUCUAAACUCACAAAGGAAGAAACCCAGACCAUCAAAUUAGAAGACUCAUAUGACUACGAUGAUAGACUAGAGAGGCGAGCAACAGGUGGCUUCUGGAAAAUUCACACUAAUGAAAGAGGUUUCAGUUUGAAGUCAGCCCUUUCACAAGAAUAUGAUCCUACAGAAGAAUGUCUUAGUAAAUAUGAUAUAUAUAGAAAUAAUUUUGAAAAGCAUUCAAACCUAAUUGUACAGUUUGAUACCCAAUUAGAUAAUAAAACUUCUGUGUAUAAUGAA